UGCUCGAGCUUUGUAACACUGUUGAAGUUCCUCUUCAAGAUUUUCAGCUUUCUCUUUCCACUCUGAACCCUAAAAUCACAGGAACUACAUAAGCACACGGAUAACUUUCUCAGCAACGCAUAGUUAGAAGAGAAGUGACUGAGUGCAAACAAUUCCACAUUCACCGGUAAUUAAAAUUUCUAUGUAGAAAGCUGCAGUUGGUCAGUUUAACCUGCAUCUCAUUCCUUAAGCACGAUAUUAUUGGCAAUAAGUAAACUCUACAUCAUGCAUGCCAAGUGACUCACUACCUGGAAAAAACUACAAAAUAUGAACUGCUUAAAAGCCAAGAGAAAUAUUAAAUAUAUCACAAAACAUUCUUACAAUUACGUUUUUGUUGAAAGUAAAGAGAGUUGACAAGAAUACUCGGUAAAACAUUUUCCACUAUCAUGUCCUAACAAACGGAACACAAAGAUUUAGAAAACUUUCCUUAUUUGAUUAGCUCAAAGCUCCUACAUAUAGAAUCCUCUUAUAUGUUGUAUCACACCAAUUAACAACAGUUUUUUCUUUUUCUUGUUUCACUUGGUAUCAAGUUCUAUCUUCCAGAGCUUAAUCUAGUUAAGAUGAAUGAAAAGGUGAAACCGUGGCCCUGAAGUCCUCCGUUCAUGUUGCUGAGGUUUCAAGCUAGCAGUUUAUGCUGUCAAAUUAAUGGCUCACAUUUGCCCAAUCAAUGUCAUAUCAUUUAGUCAGCACUAUGAAUUGAACACGAUCUGGUUAUGCUGACAGCAUGAUAGUCUUUGUCAUCAACCUGGUAGCAUGCACCUCAAUUCCAGUCAUUUCUGAUGUAUGUGCAAUUGUGCCAUUGCCAAGUCAGUCAGUGCAAAAUCAGUUUGUCUCAUGACUGGAUUAGAUUCUUUGAGGGAACAUAUUAAAAGUCAAGAAAACCAUUAACAACAUUACAUAGAGAUUUUUCGUUAUCUUACAAUUAUUAAGAAUCAGAAGAACUAGGGAAGCUGUCUUAUUUAUUUGCUCCAACUCAUAUACAAAGAACUCUCAUGUAUGUCGUUAAUCACUCAACUCAACAAGAGUUUCUCUAUCUUCUUUUCUCUCUUUACAUAAAUAUCAAUGGUCACUAAGGGUGUCUUUGGUACGAAGGAAAAGGUUUUUCAAUUUUCUCAUGUUUGGUUGGCGUAAAUGUUUUGGAAAAUAUUUUUCAAAUCAACUUCUUUUCCUCAAAUUUAAGGAAAAAAUGACAUCUCUUAAAAAAACAAAAAAAUUAGGAAAGCAUUUUCCAAAAUCAUUUUGAACCUCACUCCUCAACUUUCCAUCUUAACUUGCCAUUUUAUAUAUCUUAAUGAGCUAUAAUUGUUGGUCCUCUUAACUUCUGUCCGCUAAACUCAUUCCAACAACACUUUAAUGCUUCACUCUAAAUUCAAUAUAUUAAGGUUGAACAUGGAUUCAUAAUCUCCUUAAUUACAAUCCAAAACGUUUCUAAAUAUAAUUUCCUUAUUUAUUGUUGAUUAAUGUUAAUAUUUUUCUGCAUUAAUAAUUUUCUCCCACAACCUUUCCUAUUCUUUACGUUACAAUAUUGUAUAAAGUAUAUAAUAAGUGAUCUUUUCCCUAUCUUCCAGCCAUUUUAGGUACUUGUCAAAAAAUGAUAUAUGUACCAAUAUGGGUUGUGGUGUACUGGUGAGAGUGUUUC
rnacentral:lncRNA from 1 species